UAUUAUAAUGUCUACUCCAGCUUG
rnacentral:piRNA from 1 species